GGGAGGCCAGUCCUGCUCACACAGGGACCAGCGCCUGUGCCCGGGGCGGUGCGGGGGGCGGGAGGCGGCUUCCCCUCAGCCCACUCCUCCAUCUUCAGCUCCUACUAGGCGCUGGGGAAAGUGCCAGGCGCUGGCCUGCAACCUCCUUCCGGCUCUGUCCCCAUCAGCGGCCCCCAGGCGUCCGCCCCAGAAGUGAUGGCCCCCGAGUGUGUCCUUUAAGCUCCCUCGGGCUCUGUCCCCAUCAGCGGCUCCCCCAGAAGUGAUGGCCCUGGACUGUGUGUUGGGAAGGGACCUGCCCCAGGGCCACACUCCAGCGGGAAGGGCGGGAGUGCAGUGAGCGAGUGCAACCUGGGGCCCCUGGAGCACCUGAGCCCCACCGAGAAGGCUCCUGCGCCCCCGCAUCAGCCCGCGCUGACCCCUUUCCUCGUCCUCAGCAUCAAGCGUCUGCUGAUGUCCCAGGCUGACAAGAUGACAGCGGAAGAGGUGGACCAGAUGUUCCAGUUCGCUUCCAUCGAUGCGGCGGGCAACCUGGACUACAAGGCGCUCAGCUACGUGAUCACCCACGGGGAGGAGAAGGAGGAGUGAGGCCCGGCCGGGUCAAUAAACUUGGAUGCUCGGC
rnacentral:sRNA from 1 species